GUGGAGGCUAUGCUGGGCUAGAGACAGAGAGUGGAAGCCAGAUCUCCUUCCAAAGGAAAAGCAGCAUAUAAAAGCAGCCAAGGGGCAUCAUGAGGACGUGGGCCAUCCAGGCAACAGCACCAGUCCGUGACGAUCUCUGAGCUGAAGCAAGUAAUAUGGACAGCACAGUCUUAAAGCAGUGGCUACAGCAAAAGGCUGAGACUGAUACUUUGGACCGAGAGAAACCAGAACUUCUCACCUUACUGCCCUUGACCCAGCUUAUUUGAGAGAAUGAGAGCCAGAGCACCUCAGACAUAUGUAAUAUUUACAGAGGAGUGGCCAGGAGCACCUCGCCCUGCUGUUUCCCCAAAUCCAGGUACUCAACAUAAAGGCAUUUGUCAAAGAAGACCUCAAUGUUCAUCUCCUCGCUAUAAGCAGGAAAAGAGAUCCAGGUGUCUGAAAAUAAACCAGAUUUUCCGGGUGUGGUUAGAUGCAAUGUUAGGUAAGUGGGAGAGAAAGAGCAGAGCUAGCCUGCACCACCGUGUCUUUGCAACUCUCCUUCAUUUAACACGUGUGCUGUGGCACUUCCAGUCACGACUGGGGCUGCGAUUUUGUGCAAACACAUGGUAA
rnacentral:lncRNA from 1 species